rnacentral:rRNA from 1 species
CCCUUAGAUGUCCGGGGCUGCACGCGCGCUACACUGAAGGAAUCAGCGUGCUAAAACCAUUGUCGAAAGGCAUUGGUAAACCCAUUAAAAUCCUACGUGAUUGGGAUCGGGAAUUGCAAUUAUUUCCCUUGAACGAGGAAUUCCCAGUAAGUGUGGGUCAUAAGCUCGCGUUGAUUACGUCCCUGCCCUUUGUACACACCGCCCGUCGCUGCCCGGGACUGAGCCGUUUCGAGAAAAGCGGGGACUGCUGCUGUCGGGGCUUUCGGGCCUUGGCUUCGGUGGAAACCGCUUUAAUCGCAGUGGCUUGAACCAGGCAAAAGUCGUAACA